GGCGGGAUGGCGUAAUUGGUAGGCGCGCUAGUCUUAGGAACUAGUGAUUAAUUUCGUGGGAGUUCGAGUCUCCCUCUCGCUACCA
rnacentral:tRNA from 1 species